UCCCAUGAGGUUCUGUGGCACGCCCUGUCCUAAGUUCUGAGCAAAUGGGUUCACUUCGGGGUACCUGUUUACACCCUCUUGGAGCAGUAAAAGGACUGCAGCAGAGGGGUGGAUAGAGGAUUCCAACCUAUUCAAUAUCGCCACUGGGAUACACAAGAUCGCCUUUAUUGUCAACAACAUCAGGUGCUUGGGCACACAGAUAAGGAAGCUGCACCAGUGACCAAGAUCAGACAGCAAUUCUGUGGCAAACUCAGGAGUAGAACCCAAGACUCUAAACAUCGUAGGAGGAGACAAGCUGUCACAAUUCCUUGCUAGUCAUAUGACAGAAAACUAAAAGAAACACCAACUGAAGUUUUAUAACUUGUUCUUUAGCCUGGAGAUUGCAGCCAACCUGCAUUCACCUGAAACAUUCUGAUAGAAUACAAACCCUCAAAAUGAGAAACAGACUGGCGAGGACACUGGAAUUUCAAGGAAUUUCAAAGAUUAGGGUAUCAGUCCAUUAUGAAGCAAGGUUUUUAAUUUUCUAUGGCCUGUUUUAAAGUGGAAGCAGCAAGCAGUGGAUGUGUUUUCAGAGCAAGUGUGUGUUCCAUAUAAGGAAGAGGAAAUUGCCUAAAUUCUGGAGAAACACCUUUCUAAGGACUUCUGGAGAUUCAGCACAGAGAAGGAUUGCUUGAAACCACAGCAUCCCUCUCAGGUGUGAGAGCUGAAGCCAAUCUAUUCCUUAGGAGUAGUACUAGUGAUUAACAUAGUCCUCUUUCUGAUUAACAAAUAUCUGCACACCAAUCGUAAUAACUGUGAAUCUAUUCAUUAUU